AAAUUUUAGUUAACUAUUUUUAUGCUUUGACCUGACACAACUCUGUUACACGACUUUCAAUGAACUAACAACUAGUUUUUUGAAAUUUAAAGAGCUGUUAGACACACUCUCUAGUAAACGUUUUAGCAAUGAAAAUGUUGAAAUCAGAGAGAAUUGAAAAAUUUUUGUGCAUUUCUCACCUAAAAAAAAUGAUUUACAAUGAUUCUAAUUUAU
rnacentral:misc_RNA from 1 species